UGGCCAAGUGAUAGUGGCAUACGGUGGAUGCCUUGGCACCAGGCGCCGAUGAAGGACGUGGGAGGCCGCGAUAGGCCACGGGGAGCUGUCAACCGAGCUUUGAUCCGUGGGUGUCCGAAUGGGGAAACCUAGCCCGAGUUGUAUCGGGUUGCCGCCGCCUGAAUGUAUAGGGUGGUUGGUGGUGACGCGGGGAAGUGAAACAUCUCAGUACCCGUAGGAAGAGUAAACAACAGUGAUUCUCCUAGUAGUGGUGAGCGAACGGGGAAGAGGCUAAACCGUGCGCGUGUGAUAGACGGCAGUCGUUGCGUGUGCGGGGUUGUGGGGCGUGUCUUUUCGGGUCUGCCGAUCCGGAGCAUGUUGGGCAGAGCUAGCUGAAUCCGUUGGGAAGCGGUACCGGAGUGGGUGAGAGUCCCGUAGGUGAAGGUUCUGUUCUAGUGUUGACGCUGUCCCCGAGUAGCGCGGAGCCCGAGGAAUUCCGUGUGAAUCUGGCAGGACCACCUGCUAAGCCAAAAUACGUCCUGGUGACCGAUAGUGCACUAGUACCGUGAGGGAAAGGUGAAAAGUGCCCCGGUGAGGGGUCGUGAAAUAGUACCUGAAACCGUGUGCUGUCAAGCCGUCAGAGCUGCCCUUCGGGGUUGUGAUGGCGUGCCUUUUGAAGAAUGAGCCUGCGAGUCAUGGUGUGUGGCGAGGUUAACCCGGGUGGGGUAGCCGUAGGGAAACCGAGUCUGAAUAGGGCGUUGGAGUCGCAUGCUGUGGACCCGAAGCGGAGUGAUCUACCCAUGUCCAGGGUGAAGCGGGGGUAAGACCUCGUGGAGGCCCGAACCCACCAGGGUUGAAAACCUGGGGGAUGAGGUGUGGGUAGGGGUGAAAGGCCAAUCAAACUCCGUGAUAGCUGGUUCUCCCCGAAAUGCAUUUAGGUGCAGCGUUGCGUGUUUCUUGCCGGAGGUAGAGCGACUGUUUGGCUGAUGGGCCCGACAAGGUUACUGACGUCAGACAA
rnacentral:ncRNA from 1 species